rnacentral:lncRNA from 1 species
UGAAACCAAUAAAAAUUAAACACCAAAAUCAAGAAGUCAUCUCCAAAAACUAAAGUCUAAACACCCGCGCAAUAGCAGAAACAAAUCUUGUGUCAAACCAUUGCAAAACCCCUCCAAAAUAACCAUCAAACCUACCAAAAACUCGCGUAAUCGCACCUUGCUUCUCUUCAGCAGUUGAGCGCAAUUAAGCACAUUUAAACACCCCAAAAAUCACCACCUAGAAAACACAUACAACCCCACAAAAUCACAAUGAACUGGCUUGAAACAAGCAACAACGUCUAACAGGUAUUUGAAAAUCUCAUCAACGACAAACUCAUUGAAGAAAACCCACAAAAAAUAUAACUACCA